rnacentral:rRNA from 1 species
GACAGAAGGUGCAAGCGUUACUCGGAAUUACUGGGCGUAAAGCGUCUGUAGGCGAUUUGCCACGUCUGGGGUAAAGCACGGAGCCUAACUCCGUGUACGUCCUGGAAACGAGCAGAAUUGAGUCACUCAGAGGCACCUGGAAUGCCAUGUGUAGGGGUAAAAUCCGUUGAUCCAUGGUAGAACGCCAAAAGCGAAGGCAGGGUGCUGGGGGUGUACUGACGCUGAGAGACGAAAGCGU